AAAAAAAAAAUAUAUGUAUAUACAUAUACGUAUAUAAAAUUUAUAGUUAAGUUUAUAUAUAUCUGUGAUAAAGCAUUAUUAGACUCUUACGACUAUAAGGAGAUUACAAUGGGAGACAAUGAUACGUUAAAAUCCAUCUUUUGAUUCUAUGGAUAUCUACCUGUUCAUCUUACUGUUCGUGAUGAAACAAUUCUGAACAAUUGUAACGUCUGUUAAAGAGUAUUAAUUAACGAAGGAAAUGAUUAAUGAAUGACAUUGCUGCAAUUUCUGUCCCACAUAUUGCAGAAUAUUAGGUACAUAAGAUGAAGAAAGGUGCAACCUUUUAUCUUUCUCUCUCUCUCUCUCUCUCUCUCUCUCUCUCUCUCUCUCUCUCUCUCUCUCUCUCUCUCUCUCUCUCUCUCUCUCUCUCUCUUUUUCUUUUGUAUAUCGUUCACGUUAUUAAUUUAGAACGAUGCUGUUUGACUUUUACUACCCAAGAACUCAAUUAUUUUCUUAUUAGAUUCUUCGUUCUGCAACAUUACUGAUUAUUAUCGAUUCGUGAUGAUGAAAGAUAACAUCUCUUGGAGAAACGAAUAUUUAAAAUUCUUUCAUACAAUGAAACAAUUAAUUUUGCAAAAAUCAUCGAGUUAUUUAUUUAUCAUUUAUAAUUUUUUAAAUCAUAAUUUUUUUUUUUUUGUAAAACAAGAAGACAAUGGUAAAAGCGGUUGAGGAAAAAAAAAGGAAAAGAUUAUUCCUGUAAUAUAUUUGAAUAAUAUAUAAGAAUUAUUCUAAAGAGAAACGAGGAUUAUUUGGCAUCACUAUAUAUGUAGGAAAUCAGUUGAUAAGAAAUCAAAAUGGUGCCAUAAUAUUGGCGCAUUUAGUUACGUAAUACGUACAAGUAUACUACUCUGCCAAUAAUUGCAAUUGAUUUUCUGAAGAGACGUUUAUUAUGGAACAAAAAAAAAAAAAGAAGAAAAAUCUUAUUCUCCGGUUUCUAUUGUUUUUUUAUUUAUUUUUAUUUUUAUUUUUAUUUUUAUCUUCUUUUAACUUUCUUUUUUUGUCCCCUAAAAAGAUCAUGCCUCGUUUAUACCCACGUUAUUAUAAGAUCAUCUUGUAGAAUACAUAAUUAUGAAUAUUUAAUUCGUAAUAGUAUUGCGAACUAUGUUGCAUUAUACUUGAUCAUUUCAUGGUCAAUAAUAAUCAAAUGUGUAUUGGUAUAUAGAAUAUGUACGGAACAAGAAUUCGAUUUUACAUGCUUGACUCGUUUAAUUCUAAACACAAGCUUUGUAGGUUGUAUCUUUGAUAAAUAUCGAUGGGAAUUUUA